ACUCAAAGGAAUUGACGGGGGCCCGCACAAGCGGUGGAUCAUGUGGUUUAAUUCGAAGCAACGCGCAGAACCUUACCUAGGUUUGACAUCUCUGGACCGCCGUAGAAAUACGGUUUCUGUAGCAAUACAGCCGGAUGACAGGUGCUGCAUGGCUGUCGUCAGCUCGUGUGGUGACAUGUUGGGUUAAGUCCCGCAACGAGCGCAACCCCUGUUCUUAGUUGCCAGCAUUCAGUUGGGCUCUCUAAGAAGACUGCCGUGGUUAACACGGAGGAAGGUGGGGAUGACGUCAAGUCCUCAUGGCCUUUAUAUCUAGGGCGACACACGUGAUACAAUGGUUGGUACAAAGGGACGCGAACCCGCGAGGGGGAGCUAAUCUCAAAAAGCCAAUCUCAGUUCGGAUUGGAGUCUGCAACUCGACUCCAUGAAGUUGGAAUCGCUAGUAAUCGCGGAUCAGAACGCCGCGGUGAAUACGUUCCCGGGCCUUGUACACACCGCCCGU
rnacentral:rRNA from 1 species